CCUCGGGAGGCUGCAGUGGGGAAUAUUGGACAAUGGGGGGAACCCUGAUCCAGCCAUGCCGCGUGUGUGAAGAAGGCCCUCGGGUUGUAAAGCACUUUCAGUGAGGAAGAACGCCUGGUGGUUAAUACCCAUCAGGAAAGACAUCACUCACAGAAGAAGCACCGGCUAACUCCGUGCCAGCAGCCGCGGUAAUACGGAGGGUGCGAGCGUUAAUCGGAAUUACUGGGCGUAAAGCGCGCGUAGGUGGCUUGAUAAGCCGGUUGUGAAAGCCCCGGGCUCAACCUGGGAACGGCAUCCGGAACUGUCAAGCUAGAGUGCAGGAGAGGAAGGUAGAAUUCCCGGUGUAGCGGUGAAAUGCGUAGAGAUCGGGAGGAAUACCAGUGGCGAAGGCGGCCUUCUGGACUGACACUGACACUGAGGUGCGAAAGCGUGGGUAGCAAACAGGAUUAGAUACCCUGGUAGUC
rnacentral:rRNA from 1 species